rnacentral:rRNA from 1 species
UACAGAGGGUGCGAGCGUUAAUCGGAAUUACUGGGCGUAAAGCGCGCGUAGGCGGCUUUGCAAGUCGGGUGUGAAAUCCCCAGGCUUAACCUGGGAACUGCAUUCGAGUCUGCAUUGCUAGAGUAUGGGAGAGGGAAGUGGAAUUGCCGGUGUAGUGGUGAAAUGCGUAGAGAUCGGCAGGAACACCCAGGGGGAAACCAGCCGACUGGGCAUCUACUGACGCUGAUGUGCGAGAGCGUGGGGAGCGAACCGG